CGGGUUUCAUGGGCAAUAGUUCUUUGGAACUCAUUCAAAUUCUCUCCAUGUUCUCAUUUAGUAUAUUCUUUUUUCCUUUAUCAUCCAUACACCUGAACUUCCAUGCCAUUCAGAAGUGUGAGCAUGGGUAAUUAAACAUAAAGUUGAAUAUUUCUGCUUAGAUCAAUUACUUUCUGAUGGAAAGCGUAUUAUUUUUAUAAUCCUAUUCUAGUUACCAUUUAGUGAACCAUAAAUAUUAAAUAAUAUCCCCUAUUUGGUGGAUGACCGUUUAUAGCAUUUUUGUAUUUCUUUAAUUCCCCUCUUUCCUUUCUCUCUUCCUUCCUUUUUUCCUUCCUUCCUUCCUUUCUUUCUCCCUCCAUCCCUCCCUCCCUUCCUUCUUUCCCUUUUUCCUUUUCCCCCUUUCUUCUCUCCUUCUCCUUGUUUUCUUCCUUUUUUCCCUUUCUUGCCUCCUUCUCUCUUUCUCUCUCUCUCUCUGUUUCCCCCUUGUUUCCCCUCCCUCUCUUCCUCUUUUUCUUUUAGGAAAUUCAACAAUCUGAUAGACUUAUCUAUCAUCAGGUUAAGAAUGAUGGACUCAUUGAACUGUUGGCUUCAUAAACAGUUGGAGACCUUAAGAAUAAAGACCGAAGUCCUUCAAAGAGGAAGAAAUUCUGCCUCUGGACUGCCUUAG
rnacentral:lncRNA from 1 species